rnacentral:piRNA from 1 species
UGAUCAUUGAGCUUUCUCCCCAGCAC